rnacentral:rRNA from 1 species
GACGAACGCUGGCGGCGUGCUUAACACAUGCAAGUCGAACGGAAAGGCCCUGCUUUUGUGGGCUGCUUGAGUGGCGAACGGGUGAGUAACACCUGGGUAACCUGCCCUUGACUUUGGGCUUACCUCAGGAAACUGGGGGUAAUAACGGAUAGGUACUCCUCCUGCAAGGUGUCGGUUGGAAAGUUUCGGUGGUUGGGGUUGGACUGGCGGCUUAUCAGCUUGUUGGUGGGGUAGUGGCUUACCAAGGCAUUGACGGGUAGCCGGACUGGGAGGGUGACCUGCAACAUUGGGACUGGGAUGCGACCCGGACUCGUACGGGAGGCAGGGGUGGGGAAUAGAGCACAAUGGGCGGAGGGCUGAUGCAGCAACGCCGCGUGCGGGAAUACGGCCUUCGGGUUGGAAACCACUUUCGCCUGUGUCGGAGCGUGAGGGACGGAAAUGGGUAAAGAGGUACCGGUAAAUAAGUG